rnacentral:rRNA from 1 species
GACGAACGCUGGCGGCGUGCUUAACACAUGCAAGUCGAACGGUGAAGCGCCUUCCUUUUUGGUGGGUGUGGAUGAGUGGCGAACGGGUGAGUAACACGUGAGUAACCUGCCCCCUUCUUCUGGAUAACCGCAUGAAAGUGUGGCUAAUACGGGAUAUUCUGGGUCUGUCGCAUGAUGGGUCUGGGAAAGAUAUUGUUUCGGUGGGGGAUGGGCUCGCGGCCUAUCAGCUUGUUGGUGGGGUGAUGGCCUACCAAGGCGGUGACGGGUAGCCGGCCUGAGAGGGUGGACGGUCACACGGGGACGGAGACACGGCCCAGACUCCUACGGGAGGCAGCAGUGGGGAAUAUUGCACAAUGGGAGCAAGCCUGAUGCAGCGACGCCGCGUGAGGGAUGGAGGCCUUCGGGUUGUGAACCUCUUUCGCCAGUGAAGCAGGCCUGCCUCGUUUGUGGGUGGGUUGACGGUAGCUGGAUAAGAAGCGCCGGCUAACUACGUG